UUUUUUGGCCCUCAGACCUCCCACCCUUUGUGAACGUACCUUGAGUUGCUUUGGCGGGGCGUGGCCAGAAAUGGUCCCGCUGGUCCCCUUCGCCCGGGGCUAGCGUGCCCCCGCCAGAGAAUCAUAAGAAUCUUGCUUUAACAAAACCGUGUCUGAAGAAAUAUACUAUUGAAAUAGCGAAAAAACUUUCAACAACGGAUCUCUUGGUUCUGGCAUCGAUGAAGAACGCAGCGAAAUGCGAUAAGUAAUGUGAAUUGCAGAAUUCAGUGAAUCAUCGAAUCUUUGAACGCACAUUGCGCCCCCUGGUAUUCCGGCGGGCAUGCCUAUUCGAGCGUCAUUUCUAUCCUCAAGCUCCGCUUGGUAUUGGGAGGCAAGCCUCAUCCCCUCGGGGAGAGGCUCCCCCGAAAAUUAGCGGCGGAUCGGCCGGGGUCCCAGCGCAGUGACUUUAUUUUCUCGCUGAUUGGAUCCCCGGGCGGCUCCUGCCGGGCUAAAAACCAUUAUUUCUUUCAAGAUUGACCUCGGAUUAGGUAGGGAUACCCGCUGAACUUAAGCAUAUCAAUAAGCGGAGGA
rnacentral:rRNA from 1 species